rnacentral:rRNA from 1 species
GACAGAGGGUGCGAACGUUGUUCGGAAUUACUGGGCGUAAAGCGCGUGUAGGCGGCAGCGCAAGUCGGGCGUGAAAUCCCACGGCUCAACCGUGGAAGUGCACUCGAAACUGCGCAGCUAGAGUCCUGGAGAGGAAGGUGGAAUGCUUGGUGUAGAGGUGAAAUUCGUAGAUAUCAAGCGGAAACACCGGUGGCGAAGGCGGCCUUCUGGACAGUGAC